UGCUCGCCAGAAAGACAGUGCCAGUGGCACAACAAAAGAUGCUGCUCACAAUCAGGGCAGUGCAAGAGGCAGUGCUGGAGAUGGCUCGCCAGAAGGACAAUGUCACAGGUAGCACAGGAGAUUGCACCAUCCACAAGGACGAUGCCACACGUGAGGCCAUAAACAGCGCUCUCGCAACAAUCCACGCUGCCCUGGGCGCUUCUGGGACUGGUGGCUCUGCUGAUGCGCUUACCAGGAGGACCAAGCAAGGGGCGGCACCGGAGAUGGUGCUCACUGGAAGGAUAAUGCUGAAGGCAAAACCGUAGAUGUGCUCACCAGAAGGACAAGGCAAGAGGUAGUGCAGGAGAUGGCACACAUCAGAACGACGAUGCUAGAGGCGGUGCCUGACAGGGCAUACUCCAGAAGUACAGAGAAGGUGAUGGGGCACCUGAGACAGGCAGUGCUGCUGAAGCAGGGCGGCGCAUAACUUUUCCAGUGAACAAAGCUGAGGAAGCAGCAGGAUGUGGUCUUCCAAUGGCAGAUGCAGCUGAAAAUGCAGCAUGAGGCUUUGCUCCCACGACAGGCGACAAAGGAGAAGCGUAAGGUGGGGGUGCUCCCGUGAAGGUGAAUGCUAGAUAAGCAGAAGGAGAGGGUGCUCGUAUGAUGGAUGAAAUUGGAGAAUCCGAAUGAGAGUGCUCUCCUGUGAGAGAAGAUGCUAUAAAGGGCAACUGAGAGGUUGGUCUCAGGAUGGACUAUGCUGGAGACGGUUGCUCCCGGGACAGGUGAUGCUGGAAAGGGCAGUCUGCCUAGGGACAGUGCUGGAGAUACAGAAAGCAGCGCUCGUCUGGUGGUUGAUGCUGACAAGCUGCACAAAAAGGAGCUCCCCCAACGGAUGAUGCUGUAGAUGUUGUUGGAGUAGGCGCUUCGCCAAUGGACGAUGCCAGAGGCAGUGCUCCAGGAAGUGCUGUUCAGAAAGAUUACACCAGAGCUGGUGCUGGAGACGGUGCUCACCACAUACACGAUGCUAGCAACACUACAAAAGGUGCUGCUCAUAGUAAGGACUAUGCUAGAGGCGGUGCUCACCAGAAGAACGAUGCCACAGAUGGUGCCAGGAACGGUGCACACUCGAAGGGAAGGCAAUGAAGACGGAGCAACCAUGACACAUGGUGCUGGAGAGCUCAACCAAGAGAGUGCUCCUGCAACGCAUGGCGCUGGAGAUGGCAACGGAGAGGGUGAUCACACGAUGGAGAAUGCUGAAGAGGGC